rnacentral:rRNA from 1 species
AGUGUAGUUAAUAGCUGCAUUAUUUGACGUUAGCGACAGAAGAAGCACCGGCUAACUCCGUGCCAGCAGCCGCGGUAAUACGGAGGGUGCGAGCGUUAAUCGGAAUUACUGGGCGUAAAGCGCAUGCAGGUGGUUUGUUAAGUCAGAUGUGAAAGCCCGGGGCUCAACCUCGGAAUUGCAUUUGAAACUGGCAGACUAGAGUACUGUAGAGGGGGGUAGAAUUUCAGGUGUAGCGGUGAAAUGCGUAGAGAUCUGAAGGAAUACCGGUGGCGAAGGCGGCCCCCUGGACAGAUACUGACACUCAGAUGCGAAAGCGUGGGGAGCAAACAGGAUUAGAUACCCUGGUAGUCCACGCCGUAAACGAUGUCUACUUGGAGGUUGUGGCCUUGAGCCGUGGCUUUCGGAGCUAACGCGUUAAGUAGACCGCCUGGGGAGUACGGUCGCAAGAUUAAAACUCAAAUGAAUUGACGGGGGCCCGCACAAGCGGUGGAGCAUGUGGUUUAAUUCGAUGCAACGCGAAGAACCUUACCUACUCUUGACAUCCAGAGAACUUUCCAGAGAUGGAUUGGUGCCUUCGGGAACUCUGAGACAGGUGCUGCAUGGCUGUCGUCAGCUCGUGUUGUGAAAUGUUGGGUUAAGUCCCGCAACGAGCGCAACCCUUAUCCUUGUUUGCCAGCGAGUAAUGUCGGGAACUCCAGGGAGACUGCCGGUGAUAAACCGGAGGAAGGUGGGGACGACGUCAAGUCAUCAUGGCCCUUACGAGUAGGGCUACACACGUGCUACAAUGGCGCAUACAGAGGGCGGCCAACUUGCGAAAGUGAGCGAAUCCCAAAAAGUGCGUCGUAGUCCGGAUUGGAGUCUGCAACUCGACUCCAUGAAGUCGGAAUCGCUAGUAAUCGUGGAUCAGAAUGCCACGGUGAAUACGUUCCCGGGCCUUGUACACACCGCCCGUCACACCAUGGGAGUGGGCUGCAAAAGAAGUAGGUAGUUUAACCUUCGGGGGGACGCUUACCACUUUGUGGUUCAUGACUGGGGUGAAGUCGUAACAAGGUAGCGCUAGGGGAACCUGGCGCUGGAUCACCUCCUUA